rnacentral:rRNA from 1 species
GACGAACGCUGGCGGUGUGCUUAACACAUGCAAGUCGAACGGUAAGGCCCUUUCGGGGGUCCACGAGUGGCGCACGGGUGAGUAACACGUGAGUAACCUGCCCUCAUCUCUGGGAUAACAGUCGGAAACGGUUGCUAAUACUGGAUAUGAGCUUGCAAGGCAUCUUGUGGGUUGGAAAGAUUUUUUUGGUUGGGGAUGGACUCGCGGCCUAUCAGCUUGUUGGUGAGGUAGUGGCUCACCAAGGCUUCGACGGGUAGCCGGCCUGAGAGGGCGACCGGCCACAUUGGGACUGAGAUACGGCCCAAACUCCUACGGGAGGCAGCGGUGGGGAAUAUUGCACAAUGGACGGAAGUCUGAUGCAGCAACGCCGCGGGCGGGAUGACGGCCUUCGGGUUGUAAACCGCUUUCAAUUGUGACGAAGCUUUUUGUGACGGUAGCAGUAGAAGAAGCACCGGCUAACUACGUG